rnacentral:piRNA from 1 species
CAGCUGGAGAGCAAGUCCUAGACCAG